rnacentral:lncRNA from 1 species
UUUUUUUUUUAUUUCUCAGUUUGUCCGGAAUUGAAGGUCGAACGAGGAGGCCGAGGGGGUUCGGGGCGCUUGAUGGGAGGACGCGUGCUGAGGUGGCCAGACACGCCCCCCAAAUUCCACUGCACGAGUGUGUGUGUGUGUGUGUGUGUGUGUGUGUGUGUGUGACGUCUUCGCCCCUCUCAGCUGCACAACAGGAAACACUCACAGCCUCCCCUCCUUCCUGCUCUCAGAAAGCGGUAGUCUCUCACUCCGCCCCACCGCUCGCUCGCUCGCUUUUUUUUCCGGUUCCUGCAGCAGCGCGACCAGCUGAGACCUACUUUCAUGUCCGCACUCCGCCGGCAGCCACUCAGGCCUCCUCCGCCGCCGAGCCAGCCAAUCAGAGCGCGGCUGCUGCUCAUGCAGGGGAAAUAUGAUCAUUUUUUUUCUCUCUCUCUCCCCGUCGCUCGCUCGCCCGCUCCUUCCUCCGUGUGAGCGGGGUUCGGCGGUGAGAGAGGAAGAGGGAGGGAGGGAGGCAGGGACGGCCGCAGAGCGUAGACGGGCACGGCUCCCUGCACCGAGCGCGUUCCAGCUGGUGCCGUCGGCGGCAAAUCGGACGAGGUUUCUCGCUCGCGGCCGGGCGCGGUGCGGAGGAGGACGUGUCAGGGCGUGUGAGGUGGGCGUGCGUCUGGAUUAGAUCGCCGGGAACGCCAGGAGGACCGCAGCCCGGACGAGCCCCCGAGGUAGGUGGCCCGCUCGGCGCCGGUGACACCUCGCCGUCGGGCGACGUCACCGCCGGUUUGGUUUCGGUCCGCUGUUGUGUGCGUGAGCCUCGGUGCCGGCCGUGUGCCACGAGCCGCCGGUU